GAUGAACGCUGGCGGCGUGCCUAAUACAUGCAAGUCGAGCGAACGGACGAGAAGCUUGCUUCUCUGAUGUUAGCGGCGGACGGGUGAGUAACACGUGGAUAACCUACCUAUAAGACUGGGAUAACUUCGGGAAACCGGAGCUAAUACCGGAUAAUAUUUUGAACCGCAUGGUUCAAAAGUGAAAGACGGUCUUGCUGUCACUUAUAGAUGGAUCCGCGCUGCAUUAGCUAGUUGGUAAGGUAACGGCUUACCAAGGCAACGAUGCAUAGCCGACCUGAGAGGGGGAUCGGCCACACUGGAACUGGGACACGGUCCAGACUCCUACGGGAGGCAGCAGAAGGGAAUCUUCCGCAAUGAGCGAAAGCCUGACGGAGCAACGCCGCGUGAGUGAUGAAGUUCUUCGGAUCGUAAAACUCUGUUAUUAGGGAAGAACAUAUGUGUAAGUAACUGUGCACAUCUUGACGGUACCUAAUCAGAAAGCCACGGCUAACUACGUG
rnacentral:rRNA from 1 species